CCUAGUAACUGCGAGUGAAGCGGGAAAAGCUCAAAUUUAAAAUCUGGCGGCUUUGUCGUCCGAGUUGUAAUCUGGAGAAGCGUUUUCCGUGUCGGACCGUGCACAAGUCUCUUGGAACAGAGCGUCAUAGAGGGUGAGAAUCCCGUCUUUGGCACGGACAGCCGAUACUUUGUGAUACGUUUUCAAAGAGUCGAGUUGUUUGGGAAUGCAGCUCAAAAUGGGUGGUAAAUUCCAUCUAAAGCUAAAUAUAGGCGAGAGACCGAUAGCGAACAAGUACCGUGAGGGAAAGAUGAAAAGCACUUUGGAAAGAGAGUUAAAUAGUACGUGAAAUUGUUGAAAGGGAAACGCUUGAAGUCAGUCGCGUCUGCCGGGACUCAGCCUUACUUUUGUAUGGUGUAUUUCCUGGUUUGACGGGUCAACAUCGAUUUUGACCGAUGGAUAAAGGAGAAGGGAAUGUGGCACCUCCGGGUGUGUUAUAGCCCUCUUUGUAUACAUCGGUUGGGAUCGAGGACUGCAGCACGCCCUUGUGGCCGGGGGUUCGCCCUACGUAUCGUGCUUAGGAUGUUGACAUAAUGGCUUUAAGCGACCCGUCUUGAAACACGGACCAAGGAGUCUAACAUGCUCGCGAGUGUUAGGGUGGAAAACCCUUGCGCGUAAUGAAAGUGAAGGUUGGGACCUCUGCGAGGAGGGCACCGACGCCCGGCCCUGAAGUUCUCUGACGGUGCUGCGGUAGAGCGCGUAUGUUGGGACCCGAAAGAUGGUGAACUAUGCCUGAAUAGGGCGAAGCCAGAGGAAACUCUGGUGGAGGCUCGUAGCGAUUCUGACGUGCAAAUCGAUCGUCAAAUUUGGGUAUAGGGGCGAAAGACUAAUCGAACCAUCUAGUAG
rnacentral:rRNA from 1 species